rnacentral:lncRNA from 1 species
UGUAAUUGGAGUACUGUGUGCACAGAUGCUUCAUGUUUCUUUAUAAAAAAAAUUCAGCUUAUGGUUUCAUUGCGCACCUUCAUUUCAAGUAGAACAUGCCCUGUGACAAAUGGAAAUUCCCAUGGCACCGCAAUCAUAUAGUUUGGUUGACACCACAUUACCACAUUUGAGCUGUGGAGGAUGUAAGAUCUUCUGUGUGUUGAGGUUGGUACUCGUUACAACUAUUAGGCUCAAAGGUUGUCCAUAGCGAAAAUGCAUCCAUGCAUUAUCAUCCCUUUUUCAGGGAACCGUUUCAUCUAGUUUCUGGCUUGUGUUAACUUGUGCAUCUCUGGUGCUGUUUCACAGGUAGUCAAUGCAUAAAUUUCUUUUUGGUUAUUUGUCAUCUCAUUUGACUUACAAUUCGCUUGUGGCCCAUUGUUCCCUAGGGAGAAAGAAUUGGCUGCUGUGAAAGAUCAAUGCAGCAGACGUUGAUAUAAUCGCUAAUGAACUUGAGAUCAGUCAGCUUAUGCCAUGUGCUUGAACGCAUUUAUUCUCACUGGCCUGAGCUUUCUAAUAUUGUAUGGUAAAUUCUGAAAACAGCUGGAUCGGAAGGUAGCUGAAAGGACCUUACGUGAGCAUAAAGGUGAUGCUGUUGCUGCAAUUCGUUCCUUGCUUCGAUAAAGAAUUGGUGGCACGACAAAAAGGAUUUGUGAUUUUUCUGAGGACAUACGACUUUCCCAUAACAUUGUCCAAGUAGGAUCAAAAAGCUGUAUGAGUCGUGCUUCUUUUGGGGAUACACGACUUGCUUUCUGGGAGAUUGUUUGUACUCUCGCCGAUUUUGGUUGCUAAUGUUCAGCCCUGCAUUUUUGCCCUUCCAUGUAGUUCAUGCCGGGAAUUUUGGACGGUAUGAAAAUCAUGUACAAUUUCAACGAACAAAAAAUCACAAAUCCACAAGCC